GGGCCCGCACAAGCGGUGGAGUAUGUGGUUUAAUUCGAUGCAACGCGAAGAACCUUACCAGGGUUUGACAUCCUGCGAAUCUCUUGGAAACUUGAGAGUGCCUUCGGGAGCGCAGUGACAGGUGGUGCAUGGCUGUCGUCAGCUCGUGUCGUGAGAUGUUGGGUUAAGUCCCGCAACGAGCGCAACCCUCGUUUUUAGUUAAAUUAUCUAGAAAGACUGCCGGUGACAAACCGGAGGAAGGUGGGGAUGACGUCAAGUCAUCAUGCCCCUUACACCCUGGGCUACACACGUACUACAAUGGACAAGACAAUGAGUCGCAAACCCGUGAGGGCUAGCCAA
rnacentral:rRNA from 1 species